rnacentral:rRNA from 1 species
UACGGGAGGCAGCAGUGGGGAAUUUUGGACAAUGGGGGCAACCCUGAUCCAGCCAUUCCGCGUGAGUGAAGAAGGCCUUCGGGUUGUAAAGCUCUUUUGUCCGGAACGAAACGGUUACGGUGAAUACCCGUGACUACUGACGGUACCGGGAGAAUAAGCACCGGCUAACUACGUGCCAGCAGCCGCGGUAAUACGUAGGGUGCGAGCGUUAAUCGGAAUUACUGGGCGUAAAGCGUGCGCAGGCGGUUUUGUAAGCCAGAUGUGAAAGCCCCGGGCUCAACCUGGGAAUGGCAUUUGGGGCUGCAAGGCUUGAGUGCGGCAGAGGAGACUGGAAUUCCUGGUGUAGCAGUGAAAUGCGUAGAUAUCAGGAGGAAUACCGAUGGCGAAGGCAGGUCUCUGGGCUGACACUGACGCUCAUGCACGAAAGCGUGGGGAGCAAACAGGAUUAGAUACCCUGGUGGUCCACGCCCUAAACGAUGUCGACUGGUUGUUGGGGGUUUGACACUCUCAGUAACGAAGCUAACGCGUGAAGUCGACCGCCUGGGGAGUACGGCCGCAAGGUUAAAACUCAAAGGAAUUGACGGAAGGGC